ensembl:misc_RNA 7SK 7SK RNA
GGAUGUGAGGGCGAGCUGGCUGUGACAUCCGUCACCCCAUUGAUUGCCAGGGUUGAUUCGACUGAUCUGGCUGGCUAGGCGGGUGUCCCCUUCCUCCCUCACCGUCCCAUGUGCGUCCCUCCUGAAGCUGUGCACUUAGUCGAAGAGGACGGCCUUCCCCGAACAGAGACGGACCGGUCUUCGGUCGAGGGUAUACGAGUAGCUGCGCUCCCCGGCUAGAACCUCCAAACAAGCUCUCAAAUUCUACCUCCCCAAGACCACAAGAUUUGCAAACACUGCAGGGAAAUAAGCUCAGAUGUUGUCUCACAAGGAUCCGGGUGGUGGUGCACAUGCUGCAAUGUGCAAGGACCU